UAUUUUGGAAGAGAUGCAUUUAUUAGAUAAAAAACCAAUGCAUACUUUUUCAAGUAUGAAAUUUGGUGAUUUACAAUAACUUAGCAAAUCGCAUAGUGAAAACAGGCGAUAAAUCAUUCAAGUUUCUGACCAAUCAGCUUUCGACGGUAUGGUAUUGGCUUACCGUGGCAGUGACGGUUAACGGGGGAUUAGGGUUCGAUUCCGGAGAGGGAGCCUGAGAAACGGCUACCACAUCUAAGGAAGGCAGCAGGCGCGCAAAUUACCCAAUUCUAACAGCAUAAGAGAGGUAGUGACAAGAAAUAACAAUACAAGGCAGUUAAAAUGCUUUGUAAGUGGAAUGAUAGAAAUUUAAACACUUUUUAAAGUAUCAAUUGGAGGGCAAGUCUGGUGCCAGCAGCCGCGGUAAUUCCAGCUCCAAUAGCGUAUAUUAAAAUUGUUGCAGUUAAAAAGCUCGUAGUUGAAUUUCUGUUAAAAAUAACCGGUCUGCUUUUAAUAAAAGUGGUAUCUUGGUGUGUUUUUAGCAAUAAUGUCCUUUGAAAUGUUUUUUACUUUAUUGUAAUAAAUAAUAUUCAGGAUUUUUACUUUGAGAAAAUUAGAGUGUUUCUAGCAGGCUAACGCUUUGAAUACUGCAGCAUGGAAUAAUAAAAUAGGAUUUUAGUUCUACAUUAUUGGUUUUAGGAACUAAAUUAAUGAUUGAUAGGGACAGUUGGGGGCAUUUGUAUUUAACUGUCAGAGGUGAAAUUCUUAGAUUUGUUAAAGACAAACUACUGCGAAAGCAUUUGCCAAAGAUGUUUUCAUUAAUCAAGAAC
rnacentral:rRNA from 1 species